AGCCCGACCUUCGGUCUUCGCCACAUCAUGUGCAUCGACGCCGACAUGUCACGCAAAGGUGAAUCUUCUCCUUUAUGCGUGCGUACAAUUACCUAUGUGGAAUGGUAUGCUACUUCAUCCUCCGUCAUAUGACCAUGACAGGAAUACAUCGCCAAGUACGGAGGAAGUGGAGGAUGCCAUGGAUGCUCGAGGACUCAAGGCCGAGGUCGUGGAAGCAUGGAAGAAGCUCCAGGCGCAGCUACACCGGAGUCGCCGGCGUCGCCAACUCACAACGGAGUCUCCGGCCCAUGAAGAUCAAGACCGGAGUCUCCGGCCUACAUACAAGAGAGUCUCCGGACUAUGUGAAGCGCUAUCCACAAGUCAAUUAGGGCCAAGGCCCAUGUACCCCCUUCUAUGCCUAAACUACCCCUCCUUAGUGGCUCCCUAUAUAUAGGCUCCCACCUCCCCCUUCAUUAGGAAUGAACUUGAGAGAACCUAGGCUCAUGCCUCCACCAUCCCUUUGGGAUUAGGGAAACCCCCUCCUUAGAUUAUCCAAAUCUAUUGUACAAGGCACUCCUUAUAUGAUUUAUCUUUCGCACUUGUGAUUCUA